GACGAACGCUGGCGGCGUGCCUAAUACAUGCAAGUCGAACGCAGUGGGGACGGGUGAGUCACACGUGGGUAACCUCCCAUCAGAGGGGAUAACACUUGGAAACAGGUGCUAAACCGAUACUGAUGGAUGGACCCGCGGUGCAUUAGCUAGGUGGUGAGGUAACGGUCCACCAAGGCCACGAUGCAUAGCCGGCCUGGGAGGGUGAUCGGACACACUGGGACUGAGAAACGGCCCAGACUCCUACGGGAGGCAGCAGUAGGGAAUCUUCGGCAAUGGGCGAAAGUCUGACCGAGCAACGCCGCGGGUGUGAAGAAGGUUUUCGGAUCGUAAAACUCUGUUGUUAGUGAAGCGGUAUCUAACCAGAAAGCCACGGCUAACUACGUGCCAGCCGCCGCGGUAAUAC
rnacentral:rRNA from 1 species